GAUAAACAUAUGGUUAAAUUAAAGGUGUUCUCACACAGUUUGAAUUGUACAAUAUACUAGGUGUCCACAUCCAGGUAGCAUACUAGCAUUUUUGUUAUUAUGAAACAUUUUUGUACUUUUAUUAUAAUCUGCUGAGCCUAGAGUUGGGCAAUUUGUAUAUUUAUUAUGACAAUCUUUUGGCGAAUGGUAGCAGAGCAUCUUGUUUUAACAAAAUUAUUGUUAUCACGACAAUUAGCCAGCAGGUACAAGAAUACAUCUUGUUCCAACAAAGUAAAUAUAUCUCUUUCAAUUUCAAAUUAAAAGGAAUAAAGUCAGUAACAGUGAGACCUUGCUGGUACAAGCAUAUGUAACAUGACCUGUGCUUUGCUGUUCAUGAUCAAAACUUCCUUACUUUUACUUUUUAUCUAUGGUAGGACCACCCAGAGCAGGUAUCCACAACUCCCAGGCCACAGACUGGUACCAGUCCAUGGCCUUUUUGGAACCACGCCACACAGGAGGAGGUGAGCAUCAGGCAAGCCAGAGAAGCUUCAUCUGUAUUUAUAGCCAUGCCCCAUGGCUCAUAUUACCACCUAAGCUCCGCCUCCUGUCAGAUCAGUGGUAGCAUUAGAUACUCAUGGGAGCGUGAACCCUGUUGUUAACUGCCCAUGCGAGGGAUCUAGGUUGUGUGCUUCUUAUGAGAAUCUAAUGCCUGAUGGUCUGUCACUGUCUCCCUUUGCCCCCAGAUGGGACCAUUUAAUUGCAGGAAAACAAGCUCAGAGAUUCCACUCAUUCUACAUUAUGGAUAUGUGCAGCCGAAGCAAGCACAAAGCCCCACUUUUACACAUGGACAGUGAUGAGUCACGAACAAGAUUUGGCUCUCAGUCUAACUAACCUACUUGAGAUCUCGAGAAUUAUCUCCAAAGGUUUCCUGUGAGGUAGAAUUAGAAAAUAUUUUUAAAUCUUGAGGAAGAGAUGCAAGUAGCUUGGGAGAUUUUCAUUAUCAUGGAAAAUAGAUCACUCAAGGGGCCAACCACAACUGGGUGCCCACUGCUCUAGGGAAGGUUAACAUGGGGCUUUCUACUGCCUAAGGUACUAUACAGGAUAUAAAGGUGCCUCAGUGUAUGUAUCUGGUAGCAAAGAAGAAGAAACAAACACUGAUGUCUUUCUGCCACAUUAUUUGAACCUCUCUGACAGUUUAGAACAAGCCCAACUAAUAUCUGCUAGAGAAAAGACCAACACAGGACUCAAAAGAUCUCUUAACAUGAAGUUCUCAGUUAAGUCUAGGAUAAGAUGUGGGUUCCACAUCAGGUUUUGAAUGUGGGGGGAAUUGAAAAACUGAUGGUAGGAAGGAAAAGGUAUUAUUCUGUAAGCUGAUAGAUACUGCCAAUAAUAUUCAUUUUAAUGUCCCAAUCACAGAGAUAAAAGUCAAAUUAGGCCAGGCGUGGUGUCACACCUGUAAUCCCAGCAUUUUGAGAGGCUGAGGUGGAAUUGCUUGAGCCCAGGAGUUCAAGACCAGCCUGGGAAACAUGGCAAAAACCCCAUCUCUACUAAAAAAAAAAAAAAAAACUUUAAGCCAAAGGAAACUUGGGGUUCAAAUGAAUAGGUAUUGCUCAUUUUUUCAAUACUUAGAUUUAUAGAAUAUAUGUAAAUCAGAUAUUUCCAAUGAUAAAUACUAGGAUUUGAAAGGCCACACCCACCUGGGGAAAUUCCACUCCCACCCGGCGGGGGGAAGCCCACACCCACCCCACGCCCACCCAGGGAAGCCCACGCCCACCUGGGGAAAGGCCAAGCCCCUCCACCCACCCGCCAAGGAAACCCCCAGCCCAGCCAGGGGAAUGCCAAGCCCAGCCAAGAAAAGGUCAAGCCCAGCAAAGGAAUGCACAGGGAGGAAAUGCCAAUCCACGCGAGGACCACGAAGCGAAGCGACCAACGCCAAGCCAAGCAUGGAACGCCAAGUCAAGAGACCAACACCAAGCCAAGCGACGAACGCCAAGCCAAGCCGUUACAUACGCAUGCGCAGAACACCAAGCCAAGCUGCUGCGGCGUGCGCGUGCGGCGUACCUCAGAUGGCAAGUUACUGCACGUGGCAGUGUCCGACGUGUGCAACCCGCGUGCUUGUAAGUUCUGGUGCCACAAAUGUCAGUGACAGCCUUGUGUUCCCGCCAGACCUCGUGGAAACUGGCCAAGCUUCAGGCCAUUGAUAAGGAGAGGCAGCCCGUGGGAAAAGGCGUCUACAAGCAGGACUGGGGCCAGAGCGCCUGGUACUUGAGGAUGCUGACUGUCUCCUCUGAAGAAAGCCCCGAAGACACUCGUGGCGGUGCUGUGCCCAGGUGGCCGCGGCUGCAGGGGAGGGGCAGCCUGGCGGAACUCGCUGCAAAUGGCCUCAAAAUCGUGGAACAUAAGCCGCCCACGGUCUCCAGGCCCUGCUGAGCGGGGGGAGGAGCACGAGCACCUACCACUGACGGUGAGAUGCAGAAAGGCAUCCCUAUGUGCAGAUCCUGGGAACAGGAUGCUUUAAGCCCCAGGGAGCCAGAUCAGGCAACCCUGUCAGCACAGUUGAGCUGGACCCGGGCAGUGGCUCUGUGACCCUCCUGCAGGGACCCUCCUGCUACACAGCUCCACGUGGCCAGGCUCCAGGGUGCUCACCCAAACAGCAAGCGCUUUGGUGUGGGAUGAAAAAUGGAUUCCGAACCUAGGACACAGACCUGCUCUUGCCAACAAAAGUAGAGAGGAAGACAAUUAGGAGUGCAAAAAGAAUGUAUUCUUUUGUAACUCAAGUCUUGCCUGAUCUGGAGGGUUAAGCUAAGGCUCCUCUUGCUUGAUACUAAAUGAACUUUUGAAUGAAAUAGAGAAAAAGAAAGAAGACACACACACUAAAUCGCCUUGUCCCACUGUGAUCCCCUGAGCCAGCAAGCAAGGGGAGGCCUGGCCUCCUGGGCCCUCUCCCCACCUGAGGGCAGAGCAGUUUCCUCCAGGGUUGCAGGGAGCAGCUGGGCUCCGUGGGCUGGGCCACCCUUCCUUCGUUUAUGGGCAUCCCCACACCUGCACUCCCCCACGCAGAGUUCCAUGAUCUGGGUUCAAAUCCCAGCUCCGACCCUCAGCACCUGUGCCACCUGGCAAAUGCCUUACCCCCACGCACUUGCUGUGUCCUUCUCGACAGGAGGGAUGGGAGCCGGUGUCCCUGGCAUGCAGCGUUGUGACAGUCAAACACAAGCGGGAGCAGGCAGACACGUGGACAGGGGCCUGGCUGCUGGGGGUGCUCACCAGAGGGCAUCAACCCAUCUGCCCAGGUGGUCUUGCAAGUCUCAGCACUUAUUAGGCACCUGACUAUGGUAGACAGCUGAACAAAGCCCUGAGCUGCCCUGGGGAAUAUGACCAGGGUGAUGGACCAGGAAGGACAGUUGGGGUGCUUGGCAUGAGUAAGGAGGGGCCAGAGAAAUGCCAGUCUCUCCCCACCAGCUAUGGGUCAUGGAUCAUCUGUAUGGGGCACCCUCAGUGGGCUGAGAACCCAGAGAUGCCACAAGGUUUGGCCGCAUCCUAGGCUUCCUGAAUUCCAGCCCAGCCAUGGCCCAGGCUUGGGGGUACUUUGGGCUCUUAGUUGGGAUGAGGAGGGGCCAGGUGACACUCCUCAUAUGUCCCAGGAUCUGAUCAAGAAAGUGGUGCCCUGUCACUGCCUGGGACCAUCUGGUCUCAGUGAAACAAUUAGGGCAGGAAGACCCUAGCACCCACCUUCUGGGCCACGAACACCCAGGUCCACAGUGUGGCCACCUGAGUCAGCACCACUUGCCUUGGGAGCCAGAGCAUGAAGGCCCAGACAAGACUAGCAUGGUGGAGCAGUGGAUGCAGGUACGCAG
rnacentral:lncRNA from 1 species